GGGGAAUAUUGGACAAUGGGGGCAACCCUGAUCCAGCAAUGCCGCGUGUGUGAAGAAGGUCUUCGGAUUGUAAAGCACUUUCGACGGGGACGAUGAUGACGGUACCCGUAGAAGAAGCCCCGGCUAACUUCGUGCCAGCAGCCGCGGUAAUACGAAGGGGGCUAGCGUUGCUCGGAAUGACUGGGCGUAAAGGGCGUGUAGGCGGUUUACACAGUCAGAUGUGAAAUCCCCGGGCUUAACCUGGGAGCUGCAUUUGAUACGUGUAGACUAGAGUGUGAGAGAGGGUUGUGGAAUUCCCAGUGUAGAGGUGAAAUUCGUAGAUAUUGGGAAGAACACCGGUGGCGAAGGCGGCAACCUGGCUCAUGACUGACGCUGAGGCGCGAAAGCGUGGGGAGCAAACAGGAUUAGAUACCCUGGUAGUCCACGCUGUAAACGAUGUGUGCUAGAUGUUGGGUAACUUUGUUAUUCAGUGUCGCAGUUAACGCGUUAAGCACACCGCCUGGGGAGUACGGCCGCAAGGUUGAAACUCUAAAGUGAAUUGAC
rnacentral:rRNA from 1 species